rnacentral:tRNA from 3 species
GCCGAAGUGGUGGAAUUGGCAGACGCGCUAGAUUCAGGGUCUAGUGGGCUACGGCCUGUAGGGGUUCGAAUCCCCUCUUCGGCACCA